UGAGGCAGGAGAAUUGCUUGAACCCAGGAGGUGAAGGUUGCAGUGAGCCGAGAUUGUGCCACUGCACUCCAGCCUGGGUGACAGAGCAAGACUCCAUCUCA
rnacentral:miRNA from 1 species